rnacentral:misc_RNA from 1 species
UUGGACAGCAUGCAAUUUUACGAAAUUAUAGAGAAAAAUAUUUGCAUUGGUUGCAGUUCCUUGUGAGCAGUAUGGUUACGUGAUAAAAUUAGUUUUUGAAAAGUUACUCUGCCCUCCUUAGUUUAUGUACCAGUUCGAUAUUGAAGAAAACUGAAGUUUCACUGUUACCAAAGUUUCUUAGAUAUGUUCGAAGAAAACUUGCAGACCAACAGUUUACUCGUCCAAAAUUCUUUCCAAUCUGGACUUUAUUCGCUGUUCAAUUAAGAAAAGUAUAAACAUCCGGAUAAACUUCCGAAACAAACUAUAAAUACCUCGAAAUAAGUUAAUAUCUCCAACAUUAGUAUCGGUAUACAUUAUCACUCGUCUUUUUCGUGUUACGACUUUUACACGCACGUAUUGCACAAUUUACAUCGUUAUAUCUUUUCUC